rnacentral:ncRNA from 1 species
CAACGAGCGCAACCCUUAUCCUUGUUUGCCAGCACGUAAUGGUGGGAACUCCAGGGAGACUGCCGGUGAUAAACCGGAGGAAGGUGGGGACGACGUCAAGUCAUCAUGGCCCUUACGAGUAGGGCUACACACGUGCUACAAUGGCAGAUACAGAGGGCAGCGAAGCUGCGAAGUGGAGCGAAUCCCUUAAAGUUUGUCGUAGUCCGGAUUGGAGUCUGCAACUCGACUCCAUGAAGUCGGAAUCGCUAGUAAUCGUGGAUCAGAAUGCCACGGUGAAUACGUUCCCGGGCCUUGUACACACCGCCCGUCACACCAUGGGAGUGGGCUGCACCAGAAGUAGAUAGCUUAACCUUCGGGAGGGCGUUUACCACGGUGUGGUUCAUGACUGGGGUGAAGUCGUAACAAGGUAGCCCUAGGGGAACCUGGGGCUGGAUCACCUCCUUA